rnacentral:rRNA from 1 species
GUGGGUAGGGGUGAAAGGCUAAUCAAACUUGGAGAUAGCUCGUACUCCCCGAAAUGCAUUUAGGUGCAGCCUCGGGUGUUUCCAUGUGUGAGGUAGAGCGACUGAUUGGAUGAGAGGGCUUCGCCGCCUAUCGAGUCCUGACAAACUCCGAAUGCGCACAUGUUUAGCCCGGGAGUGAGGGCGCGGGUGCUAAGGUCCGUGUCCGAGAGGGAAAGAACCCAGACCAUCAGCUAAGGUCCCCAAAUUACAGUUAAGUUGAAUGAACGAAGUCAGAUUGCACAGACAGCUAGGAUGUUGGCUUGGAAGCAGCCAUUCAUUUAAAGAGUGCGUAACAGCUCACUAGUCGAGGAGUUUGGCGUGGAUAAUAAUCGGGCAUAAACUGUAUACCGAAGCUAUGGAUUUAUGGUAGGGGAGCAUUCCGCUCUGCGUUGAAGGUGAGGCGCGAGCCUUGCUGGAGCGUGCGGAAAAGCAAAUGUAGGAAUAAGUAACGAUAAAGGGGGUGAGAAACCCCCUCGCCGAAAGACUCAGGAUUCCUGAUCAACGCUAAUCGGAUCAGGGUUAGUCGGGGCCUAAGGCUCAUCCGAAUGGAGAGGCCGAUGGAAGAACGGGUUAAUAAUCCCGUACUGGCUGUAUGAGCGAUGUGGAGACGGAGCAGUGAAAGCGCCGCGUACUGACGGAAUAGUACGUUGAAGGGUGUAGACGUUGAUAGUGGCAGGCAAAUCCACCACUAGAGUCGAACCUGAUAGUACCGCGAGCCCUUGUGGUGAGUGGAUAGUGCGUGUAAUCAGCUUCCAAGAAAAUCCGCUAAGCGUUAAUCAUGCAGGCACCCGUACCGCAAACGGACACACGUAGUCGGGUAGAGCAUACUAAGGCGCUCGAGUGAUUCACGGUUAAGGAAUUAGGCAAAAUAGCCCCGUAACUUCGGGAGAAGGGGCGCCAGCGCGAGCUGGCCGCAGAGAAAUGGAGAGGGCGACUGUUUAACAAAAACACAGGGCUAUGCUAAAUCGCAAGAUGAUGUAUAUGGCCUGACACCUGCCCGGUGCCGGAAGGUUAAGAGGAGAAGUCAUCGCAAGAGAAGCUUUGAAUUGAAGCCCCGGUAAACGGCGGCCGUAACUAUAACGGUCCUAAGGUAGCGAAAUUCCUUGUCGGGUAAGUUCCGACCUGCACGAAUGGUGUAACGAUCCUCUCACUGUCUCAACCGUGAGCUCGGUGAAAUUGUAGUAUCGGUGAAGAUGCCGAUUACCCGCAACGGGACGGAAAGACCCCGUGAACCUUUACUGCAGCUUAACAUUGAAUUUGGGCAACUGAUGUGUAGGAUAGGCCGGAGGCUGUGAAUCGGGUACGCCAGUAUUCGUGGAGCCGACGUUGAAAUACGGCCCUUUGGUUGUUUGAGUUCUAACUCCGUAUCGGAGGACACUGUUUGGUGGGUAGUUUGAC